rnacentral:rRNA from 1 species
GUCCUAGCUGUAAACGAUGCACAUUAGACGUGAGGGGUAUCGACCCCCUUCGUGUCGACGCAAACGCAUUAAAUGUGCCGCCUGGGGAGUACGGCCGCAAGGUUGAAACUCAAAGGAAUUGACGGGGGCCCGCACAAGCGGUGGAGCAUGUGGUUUAAUUCGACGCAACGCGAAGAACCUUACCUAGGCUUUAACUACUGGAAGUAGUCCUGAUGAAAGUCGGGGCGAACUGUCAAGUCAGUAACCAGCAGAGGUGCUGCAUGGCUGUCGU